AACGCACAUUGCGCCCUAUGGUAUUCCGUAGGGCAUGCCUGUUCGAGCGUCAUUUACACCUUCAAGCUCUGCUUGGUGUUGGGUGACUGUGGCCCCCGGGCCACUCGCCUUAAAGUCAUUGGCGGCCGGUUUGUAGGCUUCGAGCGCAGCACAUUUGCGUCCUCGUGGCCCGUGGAUCGGCUCCCAGAAGCUAUCUUUCAAUUUUUGACCUCGGAUCAGGUAGGGAUACCCGCUGAACUUAA
rnacentral:misc_RNA from 1 species